GACGAGGGGUCCUAGCGUUGCUCGGAAUCAUUGGGCGUAAAGCGGAUGUAGGCGGCUUUGCAAGUCGGAAGUGAAAGCCCCGGGCUUAACCCGGGAAGUGCUUUCGAUACUGCUUAGCUUGAGUGUGGGAGAGGAUAGUAGAAUACCUGGUGUAGUGGUGAAAUACGUAGAUAUCAGGUGGAAUACCGGUGGCGAAGGCGGCUAUCUGGCCCAACACUGACGCUGAGAUCCGAAAGCGUGGGGAUCAAACAGG
rnacentral:rRNA from 1 species